rnacentral:rRNA from 1 species
AGUGAACGCUGGCGGCGUGCUUAACACAUGCAAGUCGAACGAGAACGGAUUAUAGCUUGCUAUAAUUGUCAGCUAAGUGGCGCACGGGUGAGUAAUGUAUAGGUAAUAUGCCUCUUACUAAGGGAUAACAAAUGGAAACGUUUGCUAAUACCUUAUACUCCUUAUUAACAUAAGUUAAUAAGGGAUAGAUUUAUUGGUAAGAGAUUAGCCUGUAUUGUAUCAGUUAGUUGGUGGGGUAAUGGCUUACCAAGACUAUGACACAUAACUGGUUUGAGAGGAUGAUCAGUCACACUGGAACUGAGACACGGUCCAGACUCCUACGGGAGGCAGCAGUGGGGAAUAUUGCACAAUGGACGAAAGUCUGAUGCAGCAAUGCCGCGUGGAGGAUGACACAUUUCGGUGCGUAAACUCCUUUUAUAUGAGAAGAUAAUGACGGUAUUAUAUGAAUAAGCACCGGCUAACUCCGUGCCAGCAGCCGCCGUAACAC